rnacentral:rRNA from 1 species
UACGGAGGGGGCUAGCGUUGUUCGGAAUUACUGGGCGUAAAGCGCACGUAGGCGGCUUUGUAAGUUAGAGGUGAAGGCCCGGGGCUCAACUCCGGAAUUGCCUUUAAGACUGCAUCGCUAGAAUUGUGGAGAGGUAAGUGGAAUUCCGAGUGUAGAGGUGAAAUUCGUAGAUAUUCGGAAGAACACCAGUGGCGAAGGCGACUUACUGGACACAUAUUGACGCUGAGGUGCGAAAGCGUGGGGAGCAAACAGG